rnacentral:rRNA from 1 species
AUUGAACGCUAGCGGGAUGCUUUACACAUGCAAGUCGAACGAGUGGCGGACGGGUGAGUAAUAUAUCGGAACGUGCCCAGUCGCGGGGGAUAAGUACUCGAAAGAGUGGAUAAUACAGCAAAAUAUUGGAGCGGGCGUUAUCGGCUUAGGUAGUGGGGGGGGUAAAGGCGCACCAAGGCAACGAUCCGUAGCUGGUUCGAGAGGCCGACCAGCCACACUGGGACUGAGACACGGCCCAGACCCCUACGGGAGGCAGCAGUGGGGAAUCUUGGACAAUGGGGGAAACCCUGAUCCAGCCAUCCCGCGUGUAUGAGAAGGCCUUCGGGUUGUAAAGUACUUUUGGCAGAGAAGCGGUAUCUGCAGAAUAAGCCCCGGCUAACUACGUGCCAGCAGCCGCGGUAAUUC